GGAUGAAAGGGAGAUCUGGCUGCAACAUCAGUCACCCCACUGAUUGCCAAGUUUGGUUUGACACAACUGGCAAGGCAGGGGUCUUCACAACUCCAUGUGCAUCCUUCCUGUACCUGUGCACAGGUACAGUAGGUGUAUCUGUACCACCAAGUCGGUGGAAGAGGACAACCUUCCUGAUAGAGGAGGAUGAUCACACUGUCAAAUCCACCCCAGGAGCUAUACUCCCUUACUAGAACCACUAGAACCUCCAAACAAGAUCUCCAAUAAGAACAACCUUAUAGUGUUCUUGUGAGCAUUAAAGAAAUAUAUAUAUGCAUAAAGCACAU
ensembl:misc_RNA 7SK 7SK RNA